UAGAGCUAGUAUGAUCAGACUUCAACUCAUCUAUACUACAAAACCAAGGCCUGGCACUAAGUCAGAGAUCGAUGAGAGAGAAGAAUUUGAUUCUGAAUCACACUCCCCUUGGGAAACCUCCAGCCUGCUCUCAAAAAGUUGAAGCAAGCAGCUCACCCUCGCUCUCAAAUGGCCUGCCACGUCCAAGCUUUUUCCACUGGAGCUAAUCAGCCAUGAUUGAAUGGCGGAGCAGACUCGAUGGGCCGAAUGGACUAAUUCUGUUCCCAAAUCCUAUGGUCUAAUGGAACAAAGAAAAAUGAAUUGAUUGGACCAAAGAAACCCAUUUAUAAACCUCUUUUAC